rnacentral:rRNA from 1 species
AGCGAACGCUGGCGGCAGGCUUAACACAUGCAAGUCGAGCGGGCAUCCUUGUGGUGUCAGCGGCAGACGGGUGAGUAACGCGUGGGAACGUGCCCUUCGGUUCGGAAUAACUCAGGGAAACUUGAGCUAAUACCGGAUACGUGCGAGAGCAGAAAGGUUUAUCUGCCGAAGGAUCGGCCCGCGUCUGAUUAGCUAGUUGGUGAGGUUACGGCUCACCAAGGCGACGAUCAGUAGCUGGUCUGAGAGGAUGAUCAGCCACACUGGGACUGAGACACGGCCCAGACUCCUACGGGAGGCAGCAGUGGGGGAUAUUGGACAAUGGGGGCAACCCUGAUCCAGCCAUGCCGCGUGAGUGAUGACGGCCUUAGGGUUGUAAAGCUCUUUUCUCCGGGACGAUAAUGACGGUACCGGAGGAAUAAGCCCCGGCUAACUUCGUG